rnacentral:rRNA from 1 species
CUUUACUGUAACCUGGAAUUGGGUUCGGACUUUACUUGCGCAGUAUAGGUGGGAGGCGUUGAAAAUCUUCUUGCGGGAGGAUUGGAGCCAUCAGUGAGAUACCACUCUUGUAAUGUUAGAUUUCUAACUUUGUAUCAUUAUCUGGUCAAAGAACAGUUUCAGGCGGGCAGUUUGACUGGGGCGGUCGCCUCCCAAACGGUAACGGAGGCGCACAAAGGUUUCCUCUGAACGGGUAGAAAUCGUAUCUAGAGUGUAAAGGCAUAAGGAAGCUUGACUGUGAGACUUACAAGUCGAGCAGGGACGAAAGUCGGUCUUAGUGAUCUGACGGUGCUGAGUGGAAAGGCCGUCACUCAACGGAUAAAAGUUA